UCACAUCUGUAGAGCGUUGUCUCUUCUACUCUCAUGCGUUUUUAUAUUCUGUCUUACUCAUCAUCGGGCACGAAUUGUAAUCGCCAUUCAACAUUUACUUAUU